rnacentral:tRNA from 1 species
CGGUAGCUCAGUUGGAUAGAGUGUCUGGCUACGAACCAGAAGGUCGGGGGUUCGAAUCCCUUCCG